rnacentral:rRNA from 1 species
AUGGUUCGCGAGCCCCACGCCGCCUUCUCGCCGAUGGCCAUGGCCGACGGAGUUGGGCAGCAGCCGUGGGCGUUCGCAGCCGUGGGCGUUCGCGUCGUCGCCGAACAGAGCAGGCGGGAUCACUCCGGUGGCGCAGAGGGGACAGCUUCGCCGACGCCGGCACAAAGUUCCGCGGCCGGGACCAUGGCGGCAGGACGACGACGCCCACCACGGAGGAGGACGAGGAUCCCCCGAUCCAGAUCCUCGCCGGGGAGGAGCAGUUCCACCACGGAGGAGCAUUGGGGCCAUGGUCAACGCGAGGUCGAGGGCGGGGGAUGA